GAUGAACGCUGGCGGCGUGCUUAACACAUGCAAGUCGAACGGGAAACCUUUUAUUGAAGCUUCGGCAGAUUUAGCUGGUUUCUAGUGGCGGACGGGUGAGUAACGCGUGGGUAACCUGCCUUGUACAGGGGGAUAACAGUCAGAAAUGACUGCUAAUACCGCAUAAGCGCACAGGACCGCAUGGUCCGGUGUGAAAAACUCCGGUGGUAUAAGAUGGACCCGCGUUGGAUUAGCUUGUUGGUGGGGUAACGGCCCACCAAGGCGACGAUCCAUAGCCGGCCUGAGAGGGUGAACGGUCACAUUGGGACUGAGACACGGCCCAGACUCCUACGGGAGGCAGCAGUGGGGAAUAUUGCACAAUGGGGGAAACCCUGAUGCAGCGACGCCGCGUGAAGGAAGAAGUAUCUCGGUAUGUAAACUUCUAUCAGCAGGGAAGAAAAUGACGGUACCUGACUAAGAAG
rnacentral:rRNA from 1 species